UCGAGUGAGAACUAGGGGGUGUGGACAUCUACCUCAUCUCCGAGAGGCCAUCUUGUCCUUCAACGACGAUCUGUCCCAGCAAGGUUGCAGUCGCUUGGCGCUCUUCCGCGGAAGCGGAGGGGUGUGGAGAGUUAGAAUGGGAUGCACUGCCACAGGCGGGAAACCGAGCAUGGAACAGUUCCUGUUGUAAUCGGUGCGGGGACGGCAGAUCC
rnacentral:SRP_RNA from 12 species